ACUGCUUCCCUAACGUUAGUCGACUAUCAAUCCAGUUAUUCGAAUAACCUCAACAGAUUUUAAAAAUAUUAUUUAAAUUAAGAAGCAACGGAUUAAAUACACUUAUUUGUAGAAAAUUAAUCUACAUAACGUAUUUAAGCAACUUUUGCAAAUACACUCGUAAUGUACUUAACAACUAACGUACUUACAUGACAUUUCAACUUGAAACAUUGUACCCUAUACAGAGAUAUUAUUAACACAGUGUACUGUCAC
rnacentral:lncRNA from 1 species